UGAGGAAUAUUGCGCAAUGGACGAAAGUCUGACGCAGCCAUGCCGCGUGCAGGAUGACGGCCCUAUGGGUUGUAAACUGCUUUUGUAUAGGAAGAAACUCGAAUACGUGUAUUUGAUUGACGGUACUAUAUAAAUAAGCAUCGGCUAACUCCGUGCCAGCAGCCGCGGUAAUACGGAGGAUGCAAGCGUUAUCCGGAUUUAUUGGGUUUAAAGGGUGCGUAGGCGGAAUAUUAAGUCAGUGGUGAAAUCCUGCAGCUUAACUGUAGCACUGCCAUUGAUACUGAGAUUCUUGAGUACGGUUGAGGUAGGCGGAAUGUGUAAUGUAGCGGUGAAAUGCUUAGAUAUUACACAGAACACCGAUUGCGUAGGCAGCUUACUAAGCCGCAACUGACGCUGAGGCACGAAAGCGUGGGGAUCGAACAG
rnacentral:rRNA from 1 species